rnacentral:rRNA from 1 species
AACGAACGCUGGCGGCAGGCCUAACACAUGCAAGUCGAACGGAUGUAGCAAUACAUUAGUGGCGCACGGGAGAGUAACGCGUGGGAACCUACCUUUUGGUUUGGGAUAACGUCGGGAAACUGACGCUAAUACCGGAUAAGCCCUUCGGGGGAAAGAUUUAUCGCCGAUUGAUGGGCCCGCGUUAGAUUAGCUAGUUGGUGAGGUAAUGGCCCACCAAGGCUACGAUCUAUAGCUGGUCUAAGAGGAUGAUCAGCCUCACUGGGACUGAGACACGGCCCAGACUCCUACGGGUGGCAG